GCCUACGGGGGGCAGCAGUGAGGAAUAUUGGUCAAUGGUCGGGAGACUGAACCAGCCAAGCCGCGUGAGGGAGGAAGGUACAGAGUAUCGUAAACCUCUUUUGUCAGGGAACAAAGGCGGGGACGUGUCCCCGGAUGAGUGUACCUGAAGAAAAAGCAUCGGCUAACUCCGUGCCAGCAGCCGCGGUAAUACGGAGGAUGCGAGCGUUAUCCGGACUUAUUGGGUCUAAAGGGUGCGCAGGCGGUCUGUUAAGUCAGCGGUCAAAGCCCGGGGCUCAACCCCGGCCCGCCGCUGAAACUGGCAGG
rnacentral:rRNA from 1 species